AAAAAAAAAAAGAAGAAAUCAAAAUUUUAUACGUGAAUAAGAUAAUAUAAGAUAAUAAUUUUAGAUGAAAGAUGUUUAAUUUCUUGGCUAUUUUUGUCUACGAAUUGUUUGAAUGAAAUUGAUGCCACAUAGCAAGAGGAACUGAAUGAACCGAGUUAUAUUCUGAACACAAUCGUAACGUUGUUUGGUUAUCAUGGUGAACCUAACACAACAUGGUUUGUUAUUUAACAAAUCAAUUAAUCUCAUUCUUGUUUUUGAAUGACUAAAGAAUGAAACAAUAUAUAAUAAUAAUAAUAUGAUAUUCAUACGUGUAAUGUAAGUAUAUCGAGCAUUAAAUGCAAAGUCGACGAUUGAUGGUGUCUUCACAAUUUCUUGUAUCAUUCUAGUGCUUUGUACCGAAAUAUGUCGGGAUAGAAAGAGAGGGAGAGAGAAAUAUUCUGUCACCACCUUCUUAAAGCCAACGAAAAUAUUGUUUCACGUAAAUAUACGUUCGUGAUGAA